AUUGAACGCUGGCGGCAUGCCUUACACAUGCAAGUCGAACGGCAGCAUGGAGAGCUUGCUCUCUGAUGGCGAGUGGCGAAUGGGUGAGUAAUGCAUCGGAACGUACCGUGUAAUGGGGGAUAACGUAGCGAAAGUUACGCUAAUACCGCAUACGACCUGAGGGUGAAAGCAGGGGAUCGCAAGACCUUGCGUUAUACGAGCGGCCGAUGUCAGAUUAGCUAGUUGGUGAGGUAAAGGCUCACCAAGGCGACGAUCUGUAGCGGGUCUGAGAGGAUGAUCCGCCACACUGGGACUGAGACACGGCCCAGACUCCUACGGGAGGCAGCAGUGGGGAAUUUUGGACAAUGGGGGCAACCCUGAUCCAGCCAUGCCGCGUGAGUGAAGAAGGCCUUCGGGUUGUAAAGCUCUUUCGGCCGGGAAGAAAUCGCACAGGCUAAUACUCUGUGUGGAUGACGGUACCGGCAUAAGAGGCACCGGCUAACUACGUGCCAGCAGCCGCGGUAA
rnacentral:rRNA from 1 species